rnacentral:sRNA from 1 species
CGCCGAUCCCCGGACGCGCGGCCCCCCCACCCGCGGCCCCGCGCGCCUCUCCCUGACACCACCCUCCGCGGCCCCCUCCGGACCCUCUGGCCCCCAAGACGCCCCUCCGGCCCUCCCCUAGGAGAGGGGGCCCUCGCCAAGUCUCCGCCUUCCUGCCCUCCUCCUGUCAAUGCCGCUGUCCAGAGCUCGCAGCCCUGGGAACGCCACUCCAGCGGGGCCUCCUUCUCCUGGGACCCCCUGGGCCCCACCCCCAGGACCUCCCACCUCUGCAAACCCCGAGUUUGCUUUUCCCAUCCACCGGGCAGCUCUUCUCCACGCCCACCUGGCUGGACCCGGGAAACCGAAGAAGUUAGUGGGGGUUCACCAGUAGGAAUCGGUAUGAGGGAGAGCCUGGAGGAGGAAAUGGGGAAAGGGGAAAUGUUCAGAAGGAAUGGAGGACAGCGAGCAGGGUAUUCGGGGAUGGAGGACCAAGUGUGUUUCUUUGGGAAGUGCUGGCAUGUAGGGGUGUGUGCUGUGUACCUGUGUGAAGGAUGUACGCAGAAUGUAGAGUAUGGGGUACGUGAGGGUGGUGUGUACGUAUGUGUCCUGUGGCGGGGAGCGGUGUGCAUUCCGAGAUGUGCGCAGGGUGAACACAGUGUACGUGCAAUGUCCAGGCGUGUGGUGUGCAAGUGUGUGUCUGUGUGUUAUGUGGUGAAUGUGCAGGAAAGGUGUCGCCUUGAGGUGUGGGUAGAGUAUUGUAGGUGCUGGGGGGUUAUGAAUAGGGUAUGCGGGAGAACUGGCUAGAGAUUUCUCUCAGAGGACCAGCCAUGGAGAAGGCCAGGAUGAAGUCUUGGGGAGAACCUCGGGUGAGUUCAGCUCUGAGUCCAUUUCCGUUUUCAGAUCUGGCAGACAAAUCCCUCACACUCAGGUAAAUAAAUUCGGCCUGUGCUCGAGUGCACGAGAAGGGAGAACGUUGUAGUAGCCCAGAUCUGGACUUGGACCACUGGAGGCCUCCCUCUGGCAACCCCGCCCUGGCCUGCAGUCCGGGGUGUGGGUGAUUCAGGCCGCCUGCGCAGCAGCUUCGGAACCGCGGGUUGCCUUGGCUGCGCCUUUAGCUGGGGCUGGGAGAAGCCGGGUCCGAGAGUCGGGAAGAGGGAGAGGUGGAGAGAAUGCGCCUGCGCACGAGUCUUUCCCACAGCAGGUUCAAGUCAGGAAAAGGCCUAGGGACUUUCCUAUUUUUUGCCCUUUAAAGUCAGAGACCCUUCCAAAACUGAGCGCUGUAUUGCCUGGGGAAGCCGCGCCUAUGUGUCCGAGGCAGCUCUGGGGUUCUUGCCCACCCUUCCGGGAAGCCGAUUGCUAGUGGGUGUAUGGAGGCUUUCCAAAGACUCCCGGAGGUUUGCGUGGGUUUCACUUCGGGCCAUAGCUUCAGAAAGAGCGAGCCUGCCUCUCUGUAUUUUUAGCAGGAGGAGCAGAAUUUGAAACAGCAGCAUACCGGUCCUGCGCCUGGUGAAGGAUGACUCGCCAGAAAGCAAAGGCACAGCCCUACCUCCGCGAGCUUGGCGCGUGGCCCAGGAGGCUCCGCGAGCCCUCGUACGUAAGGAUCGCGGCGCCCACGCUUGAGAGCAGAGCUCAGUGCAAACUUCCAACGGUUCUUCCAGUUUCCAGGGAAACGAGAUCUGGAGCUGCUGUGCGUUGCAGAGCUGCCUCUCUGCAACCCACAUGGGACCCCUGUGGCUGGCUGGUCUUGGGGAAGAAGGAGUUGAAGCCACCACAUCCAUGAAGGUUUUGUCUGGAGCCUGUCUGAUCCGAUGCAUUCAGUACUGAAAGCUUUCAGGAACAUUCUUUUACUCACUUCUCAGGACAACCGGUGAGGUAGGUCCCCUGUUAUCCCCAGUAGGACUUUUCAUUAGUAAAUUAGUGACUGGAAUUGGGACAGAAACCCACACUCUGUGACCAGGCUAUGCUCCCCCCACCCCCGAUGCCUUCCUGAUUCCAACCCCUGCAGAGGAUCCUCAAGGUGCAGGAUUUCCCUGGAGUACAAAUAGGUCUUUUCUAUCAGGUCGGAUUGGAAAUGGCCAGGUCAGGAGAAUUCCAACUAUUUCUGGGGCUAGCUGAGUAUGUACGUGUCUGUGGUGCCAAAAAAAAAAAUAAAUAAAAAUCUAGUUCUUUGGAGAGUAUGGUGGCAGGAGCCUGCAAACACGGAGAGGGGAACUCACUGAGAAGGGUCUUUAAGCCGAAGCAAUUCAAUUUUAUUCUGAGGGCAGGAACACAGAGAUUUCAGGCGAGCAUCCUGGCGUGUGCUGAGAAGGAGCUCUGCUGCCUGGGAUCUAGGGGAGCGAAAGGAGCUUUCUCUCUGCUUGCAGUGUAAAAUCCCAGGUACAGGGAAUCACCCUGCAGCUUCUGCUCAGCAGUCUUUCUAAAAGGACUGGGAGUUAGCGGAGAGUGGGAGGGGCAAUCUGUGGUCCCGCGACAGCGAAACCGGGGAUGACAUUGAAGCUAACCCAGGUAGGAUUUUAGAGCAGAUUGAAUUGCUUUAUUUCAGGAUCCUUUCACCGAGGAAGAGCUCAUCAUGCUCUGUUGUGAGCCAUCCUCAACUUCCACUUGCAGAGUCUGCUUAACCUUCCAUGCAUGCCAAGGAGGGGACCCAGGGUAGCUGCGGUCUAGUCACGUGACCUGGAGGGUCAGAGGCAGGAAGGAGAGCAACUCCAGAAAGAACCACACCGGUGAGGGAUAACUUUGCCACUUUUCCAGGAAAAUGACAUCAUUAACUACUGUUCAAGUUCCUACAGAGGUCUGGCGGCCUUCUGGGGGCAGAGAGUCAGAGAGCAUGAUUCUCCCUACCUGGCUUCUUUUGUUCCAUAAAUAAUGUUUGUGGAGCGUGUCCACGAUGCUGCGCACAGCCCUGGCUCACUCAUGGCUGGUAAUGAAACCCUGCAGCUGACCAGUUUCACUGCAGUAAGCAACACAUUGCUUCUUGUUUGGGAAUGGUGUGUCGGGAAUCAUUGAGACACGCAGCUGAGUAACCCUGUCUGAUUAAUACUGUCUUUACUUCUAUUUCCCCCUCUUUGCAUCGAGGUGCAAUUUAUGUACAAUAAGAAUCAUUGAUUUUAACUGUAUGAUUCCACGAGUUUGGACAGCUGCAUACAUUAUACGGACGACCCACUCAUGACUCAAUGCUGGUCCAACUCCUGCAAAUGCUAAGCUCAGCUUUUCCCGACUCCCACCUCGUGCAGUAUACAGGAUUUCCUGUGCAUGGGCAACCUUUUCUGUCUGGCUUCAGUGCCUUUCAGAUUCGUCCAAACUCUCACAUGAAUCGAUUGGUUGUGCUUAUUGCUGAAUAGAAUUCUAGUAAAAAGUGUUUAUCCAUUCACGGCAUGGUGGGCAUUCUGGCUGUCUCUGACGGGGUGACUGACCUGUAUUCAACCGUGGUACCAUGCAGGUUUAAGUCGAUAUGAGCGUGCUUCCAACUCCUUAGGUGUGUGGUAGGAGUGUGAUUGCUGGGCUGCAUCACCACACAUUUACAGUUAUCCUUAAAGAAAACAGAAGAUCAUUAACUAGAAUCAUUUUCCGCCCCCAUCCCCCCGUGCCGUAUGUGUAUACUCCUGGGUUGUGUUUUUAGCAACACAAGGUGUGUCAGCUUCCCUAGCAUGUUGGCCAGCCUGGCGUCCAUAGAUGGAUUCUCAUGGUGGCUUUAAUUUGCAUUGCCUGGUUUUGAAUGCUAUCAACACUUUCACUUAUCUUCAGUAAUGCGCGGGCGCGCGCGCGCGCGCGCACACACACACACACACACACACACACACACACACACACACUUGGUUAGCUUUUUCGAAAAUUACGUGGUCUCUAAGUCUCUAUCAUUUUAUCAACAGUGAAUAGAAGCGUGACUGGAAAUGUGGCGUACGUUGGCCCUGUGGAUUCUCCUGUAAUAGCCCAAGCACAUAUUAUACCUCUUUCAGCUGAUCCCUCGAAAACUCAUCACUACUCAACCUGGUCUCCUCUGGAGUCUAAAUGAAGCACUUAAUGGGAAUCCACCUAAGCCUCCUCUGGCUUCUGUUUAUGACAGUAAAGAGUCCAGGUAAGUCAUGUCAGGGGUAGACAGAGCUGCCAGCUGCCCAUGUCUUAGCGAGAUCAGUGAGCUAUAUCUCCCAAGAGAGAAUUGUCAUUCUGCCUCUCUGCCAUGAGGACACUGCUGGACCACCUCUGCAGGAGCUUGCACUGAUGCUGUGCUAGAAAGAACAAAGACCCUUCUCUGCUUUGGUUUCCUUUAGAAAUGGUUCUGGCUCUGUCUCCCACAUACUCCAGCCUCCCACCACUCCAACUGGGGUGAACUUUCCUUCUACCUGUGGAACACAUCAAAUGGAGUUCUUGUGUUUCCUGUGUUCAUUUUCUCGUCUGAAAUCAUGCUGUUGCUGCUGUCUACCACACUAUGUCCUUGUAUUCCUAGACCUCCAAAACCAGGGCUGGACAGUCCAGGUGGAGCCUUUCUUCCUUAGCAGACGUAAGUAGACACAACCAUCCUGUAGGGCGAACAAGAGCUUGGUGGCUGGACAACCACUUCAGAUUUUCAAAUACACCCUCACAGAGAUGCUCAGGGAUGCUCACUGAAGUUUCAUCUGAGGCAGGGAGUCACAAGAAAGCAGAGAAGGAUGACCCCUGCCAAAACCAUGUUAGAGCAAAGGUGGCAGGGUCUCCCUUCCCUUGAAAUAACUCAAAUGCUGGACAGAGGACAGAAAGCAUGGUUUUCAAAUGCUAAUCAUGAAACAAGGCAAGACUGUGACAGAGAAUCAAAGAAAGCCUCCAGUGCCUCGUGUAACAGCUUAAGAGUUGCCAGCAAUGGUGCCAGCCGAGGAGCCCAGGCAGACUCAAAGAACUUCCCUGGGUUUAAGAGACAUGCUUGUGCUCAAGGGACCAAACUAAAUGUAUACAGGUUUGAUUUUUGUCAAUUAUGCUUCAAUAUAACUAUAAAAACUGGGGUAAAAGCACACUGUAAAAUACUGUCAAUCAGAAGUAACAAAGCUGUAUCUAAUACAUAACUCUAAGUGAGUAAAGAAUCAAUAUUGUCCAACCA